GGACUACUGGGGUUUCUAAUCCCGUUCGCUCCCCUGGCUUUCGCGCCUCAGCGUCAGAAGAGGGCCAGCACGCCGCUUUCGCCACCGGCGUUCCUUCCGAUAUCAACGCAUUUCACCGCUCCACCGGAAGUUCCGCGUGCCCCUACCUCCCUCAAGACCACCAGUAUCCCAGGCAAUUCUCCGGUUAAGCCGGAGGCUUUCACCCCGGACUUGGCGGCCCGCCUACGCGCCCUUUAAGCCCAGUGAUUCCGAACAACGUUCGCACGGUUCGUCUUACCGCGGCUGCUGGCAC
rnacentral:rRNA from 1 species